AAUUAUUUUAUUAGUUUUAUUGUUAGAUAUCUUUUUAUUUUGAUUUAGAAUGGUAUAUUGUGUGAGGUUUUUUAUUUUUUUAUAGUUUAUUAGUACUGAGAGGGAAUUAUAGUGGGUAUUUUGGAAAAUAUUAUUUUGGUUUAUUACCUUUUGUAUUAGGGCUGAUUAAUAUAUUUGGCUGUUUAUUCCUUUCCCGAUAAGAUAGCGGGCUAAAUUUGGAGGUAUUGAGGAGUAUGUUGUAUUAUAUUUUUUUAUCUUAUUUUAGUUAUGAAAUAUUAUUCAAGCUUUUUUAUAUCUGGUUUUCUUAGAAUUUAUAAUUUAAUAAUAUAUUUAUUGUUAAUAUAGGCAGGGAUUAGCUUGUUUAUUUUAUAUAUUUGUUUUUUUGAUUUCAUUUUUUAGGUUGAAAGUUCCUAUUUUGAUGGUGUUAUUACUGGUUGAUAAUAGGUUAUGGUUUUGGGUUGAAUUUAGUUUAAUUGUGUUUAUUAUUUGAAAUAAAAUUGGUUAUUAUGAAUAUUUUGAUAUAAUGAUUGAAUUAGUAAUAUUUGUUUUAUUGUAAGUUUGGUGUGGUUUAGAGGAAUUAAGGUUUAAUGUUUUAGAUUGUUUUUUUGUUAAAUUUAAUUUGAUGAAUUCGGCAAUUUUAUCUUUGACUGUUUAGCAAAUACAUUGCUUUUUGUUUGUGCUUUAAAAGUAAGUUCUGCCCACUGCUUUAUUUUUGUGAAGGGCUGCAGUAUUUUGACUGUAUGAAGGUAGCAUAAUCAUUAGCUUCUUGAUUAGAGGCUGGUAUGAAAGGAGAAACAGGGAUAUUUUGUGUUUUUUUGAAUUUGAUGAAUUUUAUUAUUGGGUGAAAAAUCCUAUUUUGGCUUAUGGGACAAGAAGACCCUAUUAAGUUUUAUUUUUUAUUUUUGAUGGUUAGUAUAGGAAGAUUUAAGUAAUAAAUUUUUAAAAUUAAUUUGGUUCGGAAAGGGGAGUUUGGUUGGGGUGACAGUUUAUUAAACUUGAAUUAUUUUUAAUUUUUUAUUUAGCGAGAUUUAAUUUAAUGGUGAAUAAUUUUUAUUUGUUUAUAAUUAAGACCUAAGUUGUUUAGUUGGAUGUAUAAUUACUGUAGGGAUAACAGCGUAAUCUUCUUUGAGAGUUCUAAUUGGCGAGAGG
rnacentral:rRNA from 1 species